UUCGCCGCUCGUGACGUCAUGAGAAGUCCACUGAACCUUAUCAUUUAGAGGAAGGAGAAGUCGUAACAAGGUUUCCGUAGGUGAACCUGCGGAAGGAUCAUUGUUGAAAAUCCUCAGCGAGGAGGACCGCGAACGCGUCAACGAAUGUGGUCGGGCCGGGGCCUGCCUCUCGGUCCGACGCAGUCCCUGCCCUCUCGGUGCGGACGACGGACCAAAAACCCCCCCGGCGCGAUGGGCGCCAAGGAACACGAAACUCGCGGGCGGGCGGGGCUUUCGUCCUGGCCGCGCCGUAGUAGUUAUUGAUCGGAACUGAAUGGCUCUCGGCAACGGAUAUCUCGGCCCUCGCAUCGAUGAAGAACGUAGCAAAAUGCGAUACGUGGUGUGAAUUGCAGAAUCCCGCGAACCAUUGAGUCUUUGAACGCAAGUUGCGCCCGAGGCCUUCCGGCCGAGGGCACGCCUGCCUGGGCGUCACACGCCAUCAUCGUCGCUCCGCGCGCCCUCGCCCCCGCGCACGAGUGGCGGAGUCGGACGCAGACAUUGGCCCCCCGUGCCCCUGGGCGGCGCGCGGUCGGCCGAAGAGCGGGCCGUCGCUGGUGGUCGGGCACGACGGGUGGUGGCGCCACGAGCGAGCCGAACGUCGUGCCCCUGCCGUGGAGAUGAUGAGCUUCGGAGGCCCCCCACCCCACCCCACCAUAAAUUGGUUUGCUUCGGAUUGCGACCUCAGGUCAGGCGGGGCCACCCGCUGAGUUUAAGCAUAUAAAUAAGCGGAGGAGAAGAAACUUACGAGGAUUCCUAUAGUAACGGCGAGCGAACCGGGAUGAGCCCAGCAUGAGAAUCGGGCGGCCGCACCGUUCGAA
rnacentral:rRNA from 1 species